rnacentral:rRNA from 1 species
CCUACGGGAGGCAGCAGUGAGGAAUAUUGGUCAAUGGGCGCGAGCCUGAACCAGCCAAGUCGCGUGAGGGAAGACGGUCCUAUGGAUUUUAAACCUCUUUUGUCGGGGAGCAAAAGACGCCACGCGUGGCCUUCCGAGAGUACCCGAAGAAAAAGCAUCGGCUAACUCCGUGCCAGCAGCCGCGGUAAUACGGAGGAUGCGAGCUUUAUCCGGAUUUAUUGGGUUUAAAGGGUGCGCAGGGGGAAGAUCAAGUCAGCGGUAAAAUUGAGAGGCUCAACCUCUUCGAGCCGUUGAAACUGGUUUUCUUGAGUGAGUGAGAAGUAUGCGGAAUGCGUGGGGUAGCGGUGAAAUGCAUAGAUAUCACGCAGAACUCCGAUUGCGAAGGCAGCAUACCGGCGCUCAACUGACGCUCAUGCACGAAAGUGUGGGUAUCGAACAGGAUUAGAUACCCGAGUAGUC